AGCGAACGCUGGCGGCAGGCCUAACACAUGCAAGUCGAACGAACCUUUCGGGGUUAGUGGCGGACGGGUGAGUAACACGUGGGAACGUGCCUUUAGGUUCGGAAUAACUCAGGGAAACUUGUGCUAAUACCGAAUGUGCCCUUCGGGGGAAAGAUUUAUCGCCUUUAGAGCGGCCCGCGUCUGAUUAGCUAGUUGGUUGAGGUAAUGGCUCACCAAGGCGACGAUCAGUAGCUGGUCUGAGAGGAUGAUCAGCCACAUUGGGACUGAGACACGGCCCAAACCCCUAGGGGAGGCAGAAGGGGGGAAUCUGGGGAAAGGGGCGAAAGCCAGACGCAGACAGGCCGGGGAAAAGAGGAAGGGUUUAGGAUUGUAAAAUUUUUUCCCCGGGGAAGAAAAUGACGGUACCCGGAAAAAAAGCCCCGGCUAACUUCGU
rnacentral:rRNA from 1 species